rnacentral:ncRNA from 1 species
AUUCGCCGGUGCUCUUGACUGAGUGUCGGCGGCGGGCCGGAACGUUUACUUUGAAAAAAUUAGAGUGUUCAAAGCAGGCUCUCGAGCCUGGAUAAUGGUGCAUGGAAUAAUGGAAUAGGACCUCGGUUCUAUUUUGUUGGUUUUCGGAGCGCGAGGUAAUGAUUAAGAGGGACAGACGGGGGCAUUCGUACUGUGCCGUUAGAGGUGAAAUUCUUGGAUCGGCGCAAGACGAACGACUGCGAAAGCAUUUGCCAAGAAUGUUUUCUUUAAUCAAGAGCGAAAGUCAGAGGUUCGAAGACGAUCAGAUACCGUCCUAGUUCUGACUAUAAACGAUGCCAACUAGCGAUCGGGGGGCGUUACAUUGACGACCCCUCCGGCAGCUUACGGGAAACCAAAGUCUUUGGGUUCCGGGGGAAGUAUGGUUGCAAAGCUGAAACUUAAAGGAAUUGACGGAAGGGCACCACCAGGAGUGGAGCCUGCGGCUUAAUUUGACUCAACACGGGAAAUCUCACCCGGCCCGGACACAGUGAGGAUUGACAGAUUGAGAGCUCUUUCUUGAUUCUGUGGGUGGUGGUGCAUGGCCGUUCUUAGUUGGUGGAGCGAUUUGUCUGGUUAAUUCCGAUAACGAACGAGACUCUGGCUUGCUAAAUAGUUACGCGACCAUCCCGGUCGGCGUUUAACUUCUUAGAGGGACAAGUGGCGUUUAGCCACAGGAAAU